rnacentral:rRNA from 1 species
CGGAACGGGUGAGUAACGCGUGAGGAACCUGCCUCAAAGAGGGGGACAACAGUUGGAAACGACUGCUAAUACCGCAUAAGCCCACGGCUCGGCAUCGAGCAGAGGGAAAAGGAGCAAUCCGCUUUGAGAUGGCCUCGCGUCCGAUUAGCUAGUUGGUGAGGUAACGGCCCACCAAGGCGACGAUCGGUAGCCGGACUGAGAGGUUGAACGGCCACAUUGGGACUGAGACACGGCCCAA